UGAGGAAUAUUGGUCAAUGGACGAGAGUCUGAACCAGCCAAGUAGCGUGCAGGAUGACGGCCCUAUGGGUUGUAAACUGCUUUUGUUUGGGAAUAAUCGACAUUACGUGUAAUGUUUUGCAUGUACCAUUCGAAUAAGGACCGGCUAAUUCCGUGCCAGCAGCCGCGGUAAUACGGAAGGUUCGGGCGUUAUCCGGAUUUAUUGGGUUUAAAGGGAGCGUAGGCCGUUUGGUAAGCGUGUUGUGAAAUGUAGGAGCUCAACUUCUAGAUUGCAGCGCGAACUGUCAGACUUGAGUGCGCACAACGUAGGCGGAAUUCAUGGUGUAGCGGUGAAAUGCUUAGAUAUCAUGACGAACUCCGAUUGCGAAGGCAGCUUACGGGAGCGCAACUGACGCUAAAGCUCGAAGGUGCGGGUAUCGAACAGG
rnacentral:rRNA from 1 species